CAUUAACUGAGAGAAUAAAGCAUGGGUCUGGGUUCAGUCAUCGCAUUUCUGUCUGUACUCCUGCUCAUGUCAGUCACACCCUCCGAUGGAACAGAAACAUUCACAAAAAGAGAAGGCAAAACUGCACGUAUAAACUGCAAAAUUAGCAAUGUCGGCUCAUGCCAGAACUACAUCCACUGGUACCAAAAAAAAGGAGAAGCUUCAAAGAGGAUUCUUUAUGUGAGUCUUAGUGGUGGAGAUGGAGUUUCUGACACCAAUCAUGGUGGUGCAGACUUCCAGGCAAGGCAAAAUGGGAAUGAACGCUAUCUUCAAAUACCUAAAGUGAAGGACAGUCAUUCUGCCAUGUAUUACUGCGCCUGUUGGGUCUCCCACAGUGAUACAGAAGCCAUAGGCAGCUGGUACAAAAGCCUCAACAUGAACUUAUGUGUCACAGCAGUAAUCAAAGCAUUGUAUCAGAUCAAAUACCACAGUACUUCAGUUCCAAGAAAUUACAGUGUCUGA